AUGUCCAUUUGAUUAUUAGACCAUCAAGAAGAACCUUGAAGGUAGAUGAAAGUUUGUUCCACCGCCCACAGUAAUAAAGGUGGAAUAACUGAAGCAGAGAACCCAAGGCCUGUGUGAGAGAGCUCGUGAUGGCAAAGGUAUCCAAAGACCUGGGAGAGAGACAGAGACACAGAGAGAGACAUAUUGAGGCCAAGGAGACAGAGAGGCAGAGUGAGACUGAACGCAUGGCCUGGUUUCUGGGAAUGUGAUUGGUGAAUAUCAGAAGAGUAAGCUGGAGAUCACUCACAUCAGCAUUCCCUGCCCCACAGAUUCAAUUCUGUCCCUUAAUUGAUUAGCUGCUCCAUGCCACGCAUUCUGCUGGGGAUAUGGAGAUGGAUGACAAAUGUGGAGUGGACAGAUGUUGAGGAAGUUUGCUCCUUGGGUGCAGCAACGUGAUGGCCCUAGAGAAAAUCAGCACAUAUAUUUAUCCUUCACAUGAAAAUAGAGGUCCUUGAAAGGCCCUUCUGCAGGUGUUUCUUAGUAUCAAGCUUUGGAACUUCUAUCCACAACAAUAAGGUAGAUGGCAAACUUUUAAAUGAUCUGUAUCAACAAAAGG